rnacentral:rRNA from 1 species
UAGGGAAUCUUCCACAAUGGACGCAAGUCUGAUGGAGCAACGCCGCGUGAGUGAAGAAGGGUUUCGGCUCGUAAAGCUCUGUUGUUAAAGAAGAACGUGGGUAAGAGUAACUGUUUACCCAGUGACGGUAUUUAACCAGAAAGCCACGGCUAACUACGCGCCAG